CCCACGCCAACGCCCGCACGCCUACACAGGGUCUCCCUUCAUCAAGGCGACAUGACCGGCGCCACAUGAGCCACGAUUGCUGCAUUAACUUAGAGAGAUGGAAGGAGACAUUCCUCACUAUCUCAUCGCAAUCCCUAUUCUAUUUAUAUUUGCAUGUGCUAAUCAAAUCUUCCAAGGCGAGGGACGGCUGUAGAAGGUCGAUUCCCCUUUUGCAUUGAAAAUAACGGAACGGAGUGGAUGAUCCUAAACCGCCGGCCUCUACUAGUCAUCCUCCGAUAAUCUAUGAUAGCUAUCAUCUCCAGCAUCAGGCAAGAAGCUUCCCAUGGAGAUCAUGAACAUUCUAUGGUCAUCAUGCCUGCGAACAAAUAAUAUUUAGUUGAUGGACUUUACAAGUAUAUAUUGUCUAAUGAUCAAUAAGAGUCCCUGAAGAAAGAGCGGAUUGUUAGCUCAAAACCAUAUCUGGUUCAACUGAGUCUAAAAAUAUUAAGCAAUCACUUGACAUCGACCAGCCAUUGGCCAUUGAAUGUUUCAAUAUGGUUGUACGGAACCUUGCACGCAAUGAGGUUCCUAUUUUUAAUGGAUUCGAAAAUGCUAUCACAAAGCACUUCUUGGAUCUGCGAUUUUGUCAAAAGUUGUGUGUUUUGGACGUCAUCCCUUGUGGCGUAAGGAUCACGAUGAUUGAUGCCAAGACAUUUGCAAGAUCCAUCAAUCAAUGGUCAUGGAUAGAUUAUGACCUCAUGUCAUCCAAGAUGGUUAGACUUGUUCGCUUUGCAAUGUCAAAGUUGUUUAAACUUAUUUAACAGUUUCGAGAAUAUCCAACUGCAAACUAUGCAAUGAAGAUCACACACCUCACUAAGUACCUUAACCGUGCCUUGGAAGUGGUCAUUCCUGGUUGGACGGAUGAUCUGAGCCGAUGGUUUCAUGAAAUCCCAUCAAAUAUUCCAAAAGUACACAAAUGGUAACUUGCUUCAACCUCACCGUGAAGAAAUUCUUUAUGUGACUUAAUAAAUAACAGGCAUUUAUCCGUAGGGAAUUGAUAGGGUUUUCCGUGUUCAACUUCAUGCAUGCAUGGAAUGUUAUCUGUGCAUGGCAAUAAUUGAUAUUUUACCAUACAUAGAUAGAAUCCAUGUUAGUAUAAAAAUUGUUUGCAGCCUUGCCGGAUUGUACUACUUGUAUAACUGCUUCUACUUGAUCCUUAAGCGUUCUUUCUUGAGACCUUCCAUAGCGGUCUUCAAUAUUUCUUUUCAAUUCUAUACAUUUUACUAUUCAUGUUAUUUUUGAUACAACAGUAAGUCAUAUUUGUAA